AUGGCUCUCGUCAGGAACUUGGCUGCGCUCCUGUGCGUGGUGCUCGCCUCGCUCGCGUUCGUGAUGUCCCGCAUGUCUAAUGCUGCAGGUGAUUUAAGCAACGUGAAGCGAGACAGGCGUGUGACGGGCGCGGUGGCUACCGAAGCGCCGGCGAGCUCACUCGUUGAGUCGGCGGCCGACGCGCACAACGUGUUCGACGAUAUGCCCCAAAUGUAG
rnacentral:rRNA from 1 species